rnacentral:misc_RNA from 1 species
AAUUCUCAACCACUUCAGUUUGUUUACCAAUCUGAAUUGGCUUGGAUAUGGGAGUUGCGGGCUUCUAAGCAAGUCGGCUCUUCUUAAAUGCAUUAGCAGAACUUUUGUUGACCAUCAUUGGUGUGAUAAUUAUCUACGCCAUCUGAAUGUGAAACAGUUUAUAUGGAGUUCAGCUUCCAACUGUCCAUUGACUUGGACAAUUUAUUGACUA